AUUGAACGCUGGCGGCAGGCCUAACACAUGCAAGUCGAGCGAGGGGCGGACGGGUGAGCAAUGUAUGGGGAUCUGCCUGUUCGAGGGGGACAAAUACUGGAAACGGUGGCUAAUUCCGCCUAGUAUCGGAUGAACCCAAAUGGGAUUAGCUAGUAGGUGGGGUAAAGGCUCACCAAGGCGACGAUCUAUAGCUGGUCUGAGCGGAUGAUCAGCCACACUGGGACUGAGACACGGCCCAGACUCAUACGGGAGGCAGCAGUGGGGAAGAUUGGACAAGGGGCGAAAGUCUGAUGCAGCCAUGCCGCGUGUAUGAAGAAGGCCUUCGGGUUGUAAAGUACUUUCAGCGGGGAGGCGUUACCCGCAGAAGAAGCACCGGCUAACUCCGUGCCAGCAGCCGCGGUAAUAC
rnacentral:rRNA from 1 species